rnacentral:rRNA from 1 species
CUUAACCUCGAAACUGCUUGCCGAACUAUCAGACUAGAGCAUGGGAGAGGACAGUGGAAUUCCCGGUGUAGCGGUGGAAUGCGUAAAUAUCGGGAGGAACACCAGUGGCGCAGGCUGCUGUCUGGAACAUUGCUGACGCUGAGGUGCGAAAGCCAGGGGAGCGAACGGGAUUAGAUACCCCGGUAGUCCUGGCCGUAAACGAUGCUCACUAGGUGUUACCGGCAUUAACCCCGGUAGUGCUGUUCUGCUAACGCGUUAAGUGAGCCGCCUGGGAGUACGGCCGCAAGGCUGAAACUCAAAGGAAUUGACGGGGGCCCGCACAAGCGGUGGAGCAUGUGGGUCAAUUGGAUGCUACGCCAAGAACCUUACCAGGGCUUGACAUGUUGGGGCCCGCGUGAGAGAUCACGUUUUCUCCGCAAGGAGACCC